UGGCCGUUAGGCAGGCUCACGAACCACUCUAACGCCGUUCCCUGGAGCGUACUCACGAACAUCUUGCAGUAGACAGCGUCUGACCCUCCUGACAGCAUCAUCUGCGUAUGGAACGUGGUGAGAUGAGCCUCAGGAUCCUCCACGCCGGUGAAAACAGCCUUAACCGGAACCACGCUCGCGGGAAUGGGCGUGUCCGUGAUCGCCUGAAUAAAAGGCAUGGGAAAAACACGAGGUGG
rnacentral:lncRNA from 1 species